UGGGGAAUAUUGCACAAUGGGCGAAAGCCUGAUGCAGCGACGCCGCGUGAGUGAAGAAGUAUUUCGGUAUGUAAAGCUCUAUCAGCAGGGAAGAAAAUGACGGUACCUGACUAAGAAGCCCCGGCUAACUACGUGCCAGCAGCCGCGGUAAUACGUAGGGGGCAAGCGUUAUCCGGAUUUACUGGGUGUAAAGGGAGCGUAGACGGCGAAGCAAGUCUGAAGUGAAAACCGAGGGAUCAACCCUGGGACUGCUUUGGAAACUGUUUUGCUAGAGUGUCGGAGAGGUAAGUGGAAUUCCUAGUGUAGCGGUGAAAUGCGUAGAUAUUAGGAGGAACACCAGUGGCGAAGGCGGCUUACUGGACGAUAACUGACGUUGAGGCUCGAAAGCGUGGGGAGCAAACAGG
rnacentral:rRNA from 1 species